rnacentral:lncRNA from 1 species
ACUGCCGAUUGCGAGCUAUCUUAAUCUUGUCCUUCUUCACCAUAUGCUCCCUUCACUCUCUCGUCUUCUUCUUCUUCUCCUUCCACCACUCUCAGUCGCUCUCUCUAGCCACAACUCAGCGAAAUUAAUCUUCACAACUUUUAUUUACAAAGCUCUUAGUUUUUAUUAACCCUUCCCUAAAACCCUAAUCUUGGCUUCUUAUAUAUCUCGUGACUCUUGUUUCUCCGUCCAAUCUCUCUCCCUUCUCCACUAACCAACCAACUGUGUUCUUUAUGUAAAACGUCACUCAUAGGCCAGUUUCUUUGGUUUCCAUAAAAAAAUCUCAGAUUCCAAUUGGUUUUAUUUUCCCCUUCUCUGCUAUUUCAUUAAAUGAUGAACAUUUGUAAGAAGCUUUAUUUCAUCAUCC